UGAAAUUUAAAAUGUACGCUCUUUAGAUGGUGAGAAGGUGUUUAAAUAAUGUAUUUUUAGAAAGCAACUCUUUUUUGAGGUUAAAACGGGGGAUGGUAGAUUGACUCACUCAUCACGAAAUCUCCGGAGCUAUAACAGCUACAAACUUGAAAUUUGGCAGGAGGUCUUUUUAUAGAACGUAGACAUCCGCUAAGAACGGAUUUUACGAAAUUCGACCCCUAAGGGGGUAAAACGGGCUUGGGAGUUUGUAUGAAAGUCCUAUGUUUUUGAAGUAAG
rnacentral:misc_RNA from 1 species